rnacentral:rRNA from 1 species
UACGAAGGGGGCUAGCGUUGCUCGGAAUGACUGGGCGUAAAGGGCGCGUAGGCGGUUCGUACAGUCAGACGUGAAAUUCCUGGGCUCAACCUGGGGGCUGCGUUUGAUACGUGCGGACUUGAGUGCGGAAGAGGGUCGUGGAAUUCCCAGUGUAGAGGUGAAAUUCGUAGAUAUUGGGAAGAACACCGGUGGCGAAGGCGGCGACCUGGUCCGAUACUGACGCUGAGGCGCGAAAGCGUGGGGAGCGAACAGG